AGAGUUUGAUCCUGGCUCAGGAUGAACGCUGGCGGCGUGCCUAAUACAUGCAAGUCGAGCGAACUGAUUAGAAGCUUGCUUCUAUGACGUUAGCGGCGGACGGGUGAGUAACACGUGGGCAACCUGCCUGUAAGACUGGGAUAACUUCGGGAAACCGAAGCUAAUACCGGAUAGGAUCUUCUCCUUCAUGGGAGAUGAUUGAAAGAUGGUUUCGGCUAUCACUUACAGAUGGGCCCGCGGUGCAUUAGCUAGUUGGUGAGGUAACGGCUCACCAAGGCAACGAUGCAUAGCCGGCCUGAGAGGGUGAUCGGCCACACUGGGACUGAGACACGGCCCAGACUCCUACGGGAGGCAGCAGUAGGGAAUCUUCCGCAAUGGACGAAAGUCUGACGGAGCAACGCCGCGUGAGUGAUGAAGGCUUUCGGGUCGUAAAACUCUGUUGUUAGGGAAGAACAAGUACAAGAGUAACUGAUUGUAC
rnacentral:rRNA from 1 species